UACGAAGGGGGGCUAGCGUUGCUCGGAAUUACUGGGCGUAAAGCGCACGUAGGCGGCUUGUUAAGUCAGGGGUGAAAUCCUGGAGCUCAACUCCAGAACUGCCUUUGAUACUGGCGAGCUUGAGUUCGGGAGAGGUGAGUGGAACUGCGAGUGUAGAGGUGAAAUUCGUAGAUAUUCGCAAGAACACCAGUGGCGAAGGCGGCGACCUGGUCCAUUACUGACGCUGAGGCGCGACAGCGUGGGGGAGCAAACAGGG
rnacentral:rRNA from 1 species